CGCAGGAUGGAGGGAUCUCUUCACAAGUCAUGAUUCGCAGCUCCGGGUGAUGCCUCAGGAUGUGAGAUGCUGCGGUAGUUGAGUCACUCUGGGCCUUCAUAAAAACAGCCUAACACACGAUAAAGCACAGAGGUUAGUUUACCUGCGCUUUUGAUAAGGAGAAGAUGGAAGAAUGCUGUAUUUUGCCGCAUAAUGGCUUCCUAACAGCCUGGAGUCUCAUCAGAAAGGCAGUGAUCUCCUCUGGCAGCUCAUUCAGUCCCUUAUAGCACAAUGCUGCGGAGUACCUCUUCAAGCUGCCUAUCCAUCAUACCCUGAGAAAACACACCAGAUCAAGUAAUGUUAGCCGUAACACAGUUUAAGCUUUUCUCUGUGUUGUGCUUUUAUUAAAUUUAGUGCCCGUGCAGAGAGUCUCUGUGGACAAGUUGAUAGCUAGACAAAAGUCCAAGAGG